GCCGCUACAGUGAAACUGCGAAUGGCUCAUUAAAUCAGUUAUGGUUCCUUUGAUCGCUCCAUCUGUUACUUGGAUAACUGUGGUAAUUCUAGAGCUAAUACAUGCCGACGAGAGCUAGGGGACGGCCACUCCGCUUUUGCACCUUGCUCCCUCUUAUGCUGUGCUGGUGCCUCUGUGCUACCACCGCCUCUUCCUCCAAACUGCACAUGUCACUCGCAUGACCUUCAUUCCAUGUGGGGUAUAGGACCUCAU